CAACCCUCAAGCCCAGCUUGGUGUUGGGGAAGUUCUGCUCUGCAGCACUCCCCGAAAAAUAUUGGCGGUGCUCGUCGGUACUCCAUGCGCAGUAAUUUUCAUUUCGUAUGGGUGCCGGCGGUGCUAUGCUUGCCACUAAUCCAAACAUUUCGU
rnacentral:misc_RNA from 1 species